rnacentral:misc_RNA from 1 species
CUCUGUACUUUAAAUCAUUGCAUACCUCUUCAAUGUCUGCUUCCCCGCCACAACAGCCCCAGCCACCAACCCUCCCAACGCACCACCCACCGCAGCCGACCUCACUCCUCUCGCGCUCUGCACACCGCCCCCGUCCCAAGCCCCACAGCCACGCUGGUCCACACAUCGUCCCUAUCCGUAACUGCCACCACUCCACUCUCCAUCAUGGCAUAGAUCAAACCCACCAUCCCGAUCCGAUUUCCCCAGGCUCGUCCCGAAAGGCCCGACGAGUUCAGAAUCCUAUUCACUUUCAGUUUCAAAGUAUCAGUGGGUUCGAAGGAUUUGAAGGCAGAGAAAAACCCGAUGGAAGCGCCGACAAUAGAGCCGGAGAGAUAGGCAGAACCGGUGUAAAAGGUCAGGUUUUCGCCCCAGGAGCGGCGCUGGUGGAGAGAUUCUUCGGUGAAGAGGAACUCCGGAGAGGUUGGGAGCUGGUAUUGGGAGUUGGUAGAGGGUCUGGAUUGGAAUGUUUAAGUCUUGGUAUGGGUUGUAAAGGCGGGCUUGUGAGGAUUGGGUGUGGUCGGGCUCGUGAUCAGAGCCAGAGCGAGCCAUUAGGGUUAGGGCUAGGGUCAGGGGAAGGUGGAAUUUGGUUGCAGUUGCAGCAAGCUUUGAGCUUUGGGUGCUGGUCUGUUUGGUAAAGGGAAAAGCUAGAGCUUUGGCAAUGGCUACCUGUUGUGCCUAACUAUGCCUACGUGUUUCAUUCUUUAUUCUUUUCAA